GUUAUGUUGCAUAAUAUAGUGAAGAACACCUACCACUUCCUCAUUCAUAUCAUAUAUUGGAAGUUUCACCGAAAGCUCAACCCAUUAUAAAGUGCCUGAUUACGAACAAGCAACACACCAAUCUGGUUUCAGCCUUCAAAAUACACUGGAAUAUGGCUGGGAUCACUGUUUCUUCUCAUUUUGUAUCUUUCCUUGUUCUGUUAGCAAUGGCCUUUUCUUUCUUUGCACAGCUUACUCCAGUUAGUGCAGAUCCAAAAGUGAGAAAACUGGGUGUGAUGCCAAGGCCACCUCCUCCACCUGCGAGUAAUCCAUCUUUUCCUCCUCCAACCAUUUAAAUUUUCAUUUUCUGCUGUAUUUGGUCAGAGGGUUCUGACAUUCUUCUUCUUCUGGGUGUUUAGUCCGUGUUUUGUAAUAAGCCAGGUUUCAGGCAACUUUUGUUGCUUUUGUAUUGUUUUCUGCUUAAUCUAUGUUGUUCACCAUAGUUUUUUACUGUUUGGUUUGUGUAAUUGCACCCCUUUAAUAUAUAACUAUCUUCUUUGUUGGGAAAA